UACAGAGGGCCCAAGCGUUGUUCGGAUUCAUUGGGCGUAAAGGGUGCGUAGGUGGUUGGGUAAGUCAAAUGUGAAAUCCCGGAGCUCAACUCCGGAACUGCAUUCGAUACUGCCCGGCUCGAGGAUUGGAGAGGAGACUGGAAUUCACGGUGUAGCAGUGAAAUGCGUAGAGAUCGUGAGGAACACCCGUGGCGAAGGCGGGUCUCUGGACAAUUCCUGACACUGAGGCACGAAGGCCAGGGGAGCAAACGGG
rnacentral:rRNA from 1 species